rnacentral:rRNA from 1 species
UACAGAGGGUGCAAGCGUUAAUCGGAAUUACUGGGCGUAAAGCGUGCGUAGACGGUUGCGUAAGUCAGAUGUGAAAGCCCCGGGCUCAACCUGGGAAUUGCAUUUGAGACUGCGUAGCUAGGGUGCGGAAGAGGAGAGUGGAAUUCCUGGUGUAGCGGUGAAAUGCGCAGAUAUCAGGAAGAACACCCGUGGCGAAGGCGGCUCUCUGGGACGGUACUGACGCUGAGACGCGAAAGCGUGGGGAGCGAACAGG